AGCGAACGCUGGCGGCAGGCCUAACACAUGCAAGUCGAACGAACUCUUCGGAGUUAGUGGCAGACGGGUGAGUAACACGUGGGAACGUGCCUUUUGGUUCGGAAUAACUCAGGGAAACUUGUGCUAAUACCGAAUGUGCCCUUCGGGGGAAAGAUUUAUCGCCAUUAGAGCGGCCCGCGUCUGAUUAGCUAGUUGGUGAGGUAACGGCUCACCAAGGCGACGAUCAGUAGCUGGUCUGAGAGGAUGACCAGCCACACUGGGACUGAGACACGGCCCAGACUCCUACGGGAGGCAGCAGUGGGGAAUCUUGCGCAAUGGGCGAAAGCCUGACGCAGCCAUGCCGCGUGAAUGAUGAAGGUCUUAGGAUUGUAAAAUUCUUUCACCGGGGACGAUAAUGACGGUACCCGGAGAAGAAGCCCCGGCUAACUUCGUG
rnacentral:rRNA from 1 species